rnacentral:sRNA from 1 species
GUUGUAUUUAUUUGACGGUACAUAGAUCAUUCUGUUAUUCAUGCUGAUGACUUUUUGGGCACACAAAGAUAAAAUGGAAGAAUAGCACCCAGAGAUUUGAUUGUUCAGCAUAUUUGGGCGGCUAAUCUGCUUAGUGUGUCUUUGGUAGAUCUGCGUAUAGUUUCACAAGCUGUGGAUUGGUGAUAGCCGGACAUUAUGUAACUGCUGGUCUACUGCCUUUAUUGAGCCAAAGUCAAGUGCCUCAGCAGAUUUCCAUUUUGGCUGGGUCGGUUUAUGCUGUCUUGAUCAGGAUGAAUUGCAGCUCUCUUGGAGGCUUUGCGUUUAUAGAGGUAAGGAAGAAAUUAAGUUCUUCUCUUUUAGACUGUAAAAAUUUUUCUUCUUGCUUGAAUGUUUUACUUUCUCUGUGAUAAAAUGGAAUUUCUUUAUAUUUUUGAAAAUUGUUUCAUGAAAGAGCUUUUGAUGAAACACCUGGACAUAGUUUUCCCUUUUUAAUUUACUUGCUGACUUUACCUGGUAUAACAAAAUCGGUUUCUAGAGGGCAAUUGUAUUAAAAGUUUGGGGGUUUUUUUAUAGAAAUUAUUUUCCAGGGGGCAUAAGAAAUAGUCAAUUUUUUGUUUUCAAUUCAAAUAGGAAAUUUUAACUUCUGUAUUUUAUAGGUACUUUUUUUUUUCUUUAUCAGUUGUCAAAAAAGCUGUUAAUGUAUUCUGUAAAAGGGGGUUACAGGGAAAAGUAUGUCUCAGCUGAUAAAACUGUUCUGUAAUCUUGUAACCUAACCUUUGCUGAGGUCAGUAUGGGGGUUAAGCAGAUGUACAAGAAAGCAAAGGGAUGAAACAGACCAAUGAUCAUCUAUCAUGGCAGUAACUAAACUAUAAACUGAAUACUCCAGACAAGAAAAGUCUCGAGACGGAGGAGGGAAAAAAAAAUGAGGGAAUAAGACAACAGUGUAAGGACAGGCUACUAGAUGAGUGAAGCUAGAGAGUUUCAAGAUGGAGAUAUUGUUUGAUAUGAGAAUAGGCAGUAUAACUAAAACUAUAAACUAAUAAAUACUCUGACAAGAAAAGUCUCAGAAACAGAGAAAACGUUACUGAAUAAGAUGGCACAAGGACAGGUUACUACCGGUAGAUGUGAGAAGCUAGCAAGCUGAAGAGAGUUUCAAGACGAAGAUAUAGUUUGAUAAGAAAAUAGGUGGUUUAGACUCUUCGUGACUUUCAGACUGUAUUUUAAGUUAAUUUAUAUUCUUCCAUCCUGCCCCAUAAGGUUGAUUGCCAAGAACCUGUCAUAGCAUAGGGGUUGCUUGUCGCACUCUUAGUUUACAUGCAUACAUUUAUAUAUUCAUGGUGUGUGUUCAGACUUGCUGAACUUUGUACUGGAGAUAUUGUAGAACUGAAAAUUAUAUGUCCCAACCAUUUUGUUGGAUUUUGAAAUCCUUUGAAAUAUGAACUAUUAAGCUCUUACAUAAGUGUGCUAAUUUGCAUGAAUUUGAAUUUCUUUAAAUUAGAUUGAUUGGGUGUUAGUUGAAAAAUAUGUUAAACUGAUGGAGAAGUUAAUCCAGUUUGUUAUUCCCUUAUUACAGAACUGUUUUUCUGUCGUUGUUGAUUAUUCAUGCCAUGCAAUUACACAAAAUUGAAGAAUUAAAGGCUAUAGUGUGUAAAGUACUAAUCAUUUGACCAUAAACAAAAAUCUCAGAUGAUGAAAUGACUUUUGAGACUUUUUGAAGUAAACCUUCAACCCCACUCCAAUACCCAUUAAAACAAAAUGAAAGAAAAGACAAAUAAGUUAGGAUAAAUUGUGCAUCAGCCUGCACUUUUCUUGUCAGAGGCUGCAGACAGUGACGUCAUUUGGUGCACAUCAAGACUAAUCUGGCACCGACGAAAACAAAAGACCAUAACUGUCAAACUGUGAACGAAAUGUGAACCCACACGAAGUGCAACAAGCAAAUUAAUAACAAAAAAAAAAAAAAAAAUCUCCUUCUCCGUUGUUUUCUGGGGCAUAGUGUAAUCUUCGGCUUAGGUCAGCCGUGAUUGACCUCUAGGAGUUGGUGACAAGGGGGUCACAAGGAUUAUUACCCUAAGGAUCUUUCUUAUAUACUGUGCACUUUAUUUGUCUCUGUGGUAGGUUUUUAAUGGUGGCCAGCCAACGGGAAUAAAAAAAAAAAA